rnacentral:rRNA from 1 species
CGGCGGACGGGUGGGUAACGCGUGGGUAACCUGCCUCAUACAGGGGGAUAACAGUUGGAAACGGCUGCUAAUACCGCAUAAGCGCACAGUACCGCAUGGUACGGUGUGAAAAACUCCGGUGGUAUGAGAUGGACCCGCGUCUGAUUAGCUAGUUGGUGGGGUAACGGCCUACCAAGGCGACGAUCAGUAGCCGGCCUGAGAGGGUGAACGGCCACAUUGGGACUGAGACACGGCCAA